rnacentral:tRNA from 1 species
GCGAGCGUAGCUCAAUGGCAGAGCACCAGCCUUCCAAGCUGGGGGUGCCGGUUCGAUUCCGGUCGCUCGCUCCA